GGAGAGGUCGCCUAGUCCGGUCUAUGGCGCGCGUCUGGAAAGCGCGUAUGGGUCACACCAUCGAGAGUUCAAAUCUCUCCCUCUCCGCUA
rnacentral:tRNA from 1 species